CCCUUAGAUGUCCGGGGCCGCACGCGCGCUACACUGAAGGAAUCAGCGUGGCUUUCUCCCUGACCCGAAAGGGUUGGGAAACCCGUUGAAUCUCCUUCGUGAUAGGGAUUGGGGCUUGAAAUUGUUCCCCAUGAACGAGGAAUUCCCAGUAAGCGCGAGUCAUAAGCUCGCGUUGAUUACGUCCCUGCCCUUUGUACACACCGCCCGUCGCUACUACCGAUUGAGCGGUCCGGUGAAGACUCAGGAGAUGGGCGCGUGCUUGGUUCGCCAACUGCGCUGCCUGCCAAAUUUGUCUAAACCUUAUCGCUUAGAGGAAGGAGAAGUCGUAACA
rnacentral:rRNA from 1 species